CCUUGACAUACUAAGAACUUUCCAGAGAUGGAUUGGUGCCUUCGGGAACUUAGAUACAGGUGCUGCAUGGCUGUCGUCAGCUCGUGUCGUGAGAUGUUGGGUUAAGUCCCGCAACGAGCGCAACCCUUUUCCUUAUUUGCCAGCGGGUAAUGCCGGGAACUUUAAGGAUACUGCCAGUGACAAACUGGAGGAAGGCGGGGACGACGUCAAGUCAUCAUGGCCCUUACGGCCAGGGCUACACACGUGCUACAAUGGUCGGUACAGAGGGUUGCUACCUCGCGAGAGGAUGCUAAUCUCAAAAAGCCGAUCGUAGUCCGGAUCGCAGUCUGCAACUCGACUGCGUGAAGUCGGAAUCGCUAGUAAUCGUGGAUCAGAAUGCCGCGGUGAAUACGUUCCCGGGCCUUGUACACACCGCCCGUCACACCAUGGGAGUUUGUUGCACCAGAAGUAGGUAGUCUAACCGCAAGGAGGACGCUUACCACGGUGUGGCCGAUGACUGGGGUGAAGUCGUAACAAGGUAAGCGUAGAUGA
rnacentral:rRNA from 1 species